rnacentral:sRNA from 1 species
UUUUGCGGUCAGUCUGGCUGCAAUACCUGCUUGCUCCUUGACCACGGAUGAACUGGCACAGAGGUGAGCGGAUGACGAAAGGCCGGUUUGACCCGGCCUUUUUGUUU